CUAUCGGAAAAAAAAAACGAAUUAAUCAGCAGUUUUCCUAAGACAUUGUUGUGGCAGGCAACACCCCCAAGGACGCCGUGAUUUAGGAAAGGAAGAUUCGGCCCAUAUUGCAAGUUAAUUAUGCAAAUCACAGUUUGAAGUAUCUGAUAUCGUCUAGGUACGGUGCUCUACUAAAGGAAGAUCGACAAAUGUUACACUUUCCUAAAGAUGUAACAUGAGGUGAGGGUGGAACGGAAAAGAUCACUGGCGGAAGUUCCCUGGACAGACACCCCUUUCAAUGCGUUCGACAUGAGGUACAGAGCUAGAGUUAAUCCAAGAAAACGAGUCGCGCUAUUCCAUUCCAUAGAAAAAAAAAAAAACAAUAAUAUAUAAAUAACAGUAGAUUUGCAAAUUUCAAGAAACAACGAAACUAGGCCAAUAGAUACAUUGGCAAGCCAGCAACUGGUGCUGUUUUCCAAAUAAGGAGAACUUUUUACGAUAGCUGCAAACAUGUAUGUAUUAAUGCCGUUGUGGAUCAAGAAGAAGCCUUCCUAGACCAGUCUAGAAGAAGGGACCAUGGUGCUCCGAAUUUGCAUCCCAGAUCUCAUGCAUUUCGCAUCCGCUAUCACUAAUCUCAGCUGGUUGCUGAUUUAUAGUUUCUGCGGCUAUGAGUCAAGUCUAAACGAGGGUCUUCAUAUGUGGUUUUGAAUCCAAAACAGCAGCACCUAUGAGGGUCAUUCGUGGCCAUAUACCCAUCACGACACCCCUCAUUGUCCAAGUUGCAGCCCGGUGGACAGUUAAACGCCAAACCCUGCCGCAAUGCUUAUACAUAAACAAGCUUCUGACACGCACACAUAAGUUCUCCCUGUGCCGGAUGUAGUAAGAACCGAUAAACUCAUGCGCGGCAUCUAACCCUUCUGUCCUUGCAUUGGAAGCACAAACCGGAAGGUCCAGUUAACCUUCUACGGCCCCCGCUUCCGAGAUGAUUCUUCAAAAAGAAAAACGUAUGCGUCAUAAAGGCAACAAUAGUUUUCCAGCUGGAGAUCCGUUCCAUCGGCUAUGUAGAACGUUAACCAUGCAAGUGGCUAACGCGCCACGGCGGCUCGACGGCGCUCUAUAUAUCUUCCCUAGUAUCAUGAUGUUGACCCGCGUACAUGGACUUUUUGGCUUAAUUCGAUGACCAAUUACAAUUUCGAGAAGGAUUUUUACAUGAUCACACUAAAUGAGUUCUGCUUAGUUGAACAAAAAUUUGUGUUAGGUCAAAGAAAAACUCAGAACGAUAUGAUGGUACGUUUAACACCUACGGCUAGUUCGAGGUAAUCUAGAGGUUAACAAUCCGUUCCGCGGCAAAUAGGAUAGUUUAGCUUAGCUGUAUCAUGAUUGAAAACGUACGGAUACGGAGACAACGAGUACGAGCUAGCAGCAAAAAAACAUUGUAACUAUGUUAAAGAACCCUCAUCGCCCUAUGUAACGUAAUAACAAUAACUAAGAUAAUGGCUAACCUACAAGUACAGGAUCCUUACGGGUUUGAAAGAACAAUUAUGAGGACCUCUGCAGCGUACUUGAUUAUGCUUCAUUUCCCGACUUGUACGUACUAUUUCGAUUCCUGAAUUAUUCCUCGUCAGCCAAGCAGAGUCAACAAUUAGAGGUGAUAUAAAUUUAUUUAAAUGACUACACACAAGUGUAGGGUGCAAGCCUUCAGCCAGACAUGUUUAAAGCUCUUUGUUUCAUUCUAGCACUUUUUCUCCGCAACACAUACUCCAAUAUCGUUUGGCAAAUACUCGUCAAUUAAUUCUCCUUUCAA